rnacentral:rRNA from 1 species
GUGGGGAAUAUUGGACAAUGGGCGAAAGCCUGAUCCAGCCAUGCCGCGUGUGUGAAGAAGGUCUUCGGAUUGUAAAGCACUUUAAGUUGGGAGGAAGGGCAGUAAGUUAAUACCUUGCUGUUUUGACGUUACCGACAGAAUAAGCACCGGCUAACUUCGUGCCAGCAGCCGCGGUAAUACGAAGGGUGCAAGCGUUAAUCGGAAUUACUGGGCGUAAAGCGCGCGUAGGUGGUUUUGUAAGUUGGAGGUGAAAUCCCCGGGCUCGACCUGGGAACUGCCUCCAAAACUGCAUGACUAGAGUACGGUAGAGGGUAGUGGAAUUUCCUGUGUAGCGGCGAAAUGCGUAGAUAUAGGAAGGAACACCAGUGGCGAAGGCGACUACCUGGACUGAUACUGACACUGAGGUGCGAAAGCGUGGGGAGCAAACAGGAUUAGAAACCCCUGUAGUCC